rnacentral:tRNA from 1 species
GGACUGUUAGCUCAGUUGGCAGAGCAGCUGACUCUUAAUCAGCGGGUCGUGGGUUCGAAUCCCUCACAGUCCACCA